ACGAGGGCUAAAACUAAAUCACUAAAGUUACUCACGAAAUUAGUCAACUCUCAAAGUACGUAAAUGUACUGAAUCACACAAAUGAAUAUGAUCGGUCGAUAAUGUAUUAUCAAAUUUUAUAAUUAAACACAAAUCACGUGGAAAUUAGACGACAUAACUCCUCGGCCACACCAUCAGUAUCUAAAAUUUGUCUGCACUGCAGAAGGAGUAAAGACACCGUUGAGGAGAUUACAGCCAAGGCAAACCAAGCUUUUCAAUGUGAGAAGAAAAGGAAACGAGCCAUACUUACGAAGAAAUUAAGGUCUUACAACUACCCAACAUGGACAGCACUGUGACGGGAAAUAAGAAUAUCGAGUACUUAAACAACUUUAUUACUAUGUUGUUGAAUAAGUUUUGCGGUUCAAUAAAAGAGAGGGCGUUGCUACUA